rnacentral:rRNA from 1 species
GACGAACGCUGGCGGCGUGCUUAACACAUGCAAGUCGAACGGAAAGGCCCUGCUUUUGUGGGGUGCUCGAGUGGCGAACGGGUGAGUAACACGUGAGUAACCUGCCCUUGACUUUGGGAUAACUUCAGGAAACUGGGGCUAAUACCGGAUAGGAGCUCCUGCUGCAUGGUGGGGGUUGGAAAGUUUCGGCGGUUGGGGAUGGACUCGCGGCUUAUCAGCUUGUUGGUGGGGUAGUGGCUUACCAAGGCUUUGACGGGUAGCCGGCCUGAGAGGGUGACCGGCGACAUUGGGACUGAGAUACGGAGCAGACUCCUACGGGAGGCAGCAGGGGGGAAUAUUGCACAAUGGGCGGAAGCCUGAUGCGGCAACGCCGCGUGCGGGAUGACGGCCUUCGGGUUGUAAACCGCUUUCGCCUGUGACGAAGCGUGAGUGACGGUAAUGGGUAAAGAAGCACCGGCUAACUACGUG